rnacentral:rRNA from 1 species
UACGUAGGGGGCAAGCGUUGUCCGGAUUCAUUGGGUUUAAAGGGAGCGUAGGCGGACUUGUAAGUCAGUGGUGAAAUCUGUGGGCUUAACCCACAAACUGCCAUUGAUACUGCAGGUCUAGAGUACAGUUGCCGUUGGCGGAAUAUGACAUGUAGUGGUGAAAUGCGUAGAUAUCGAGAGGAACACCUGCGGCGAAGGCGGGUUGCUGGGCUGACACUGACGCUGAGGCGCGAAAGCUAGGGGAGCGAACGGG